UACGUAGGGUGCGAGCGUUGUCCGGAAUUACUGGGCGUAAAGAGCUCGUAGGUGGUUUGUCGCGUUGUUCGUGAAAACUCACAGCUCAACUGUGGGCGUGCGGGCGAUACGGGCAGACUAGAGUACUGCAGGGGGACUGGAAUUCUUGGUGUAGCAGUGAAAUGCGUAGAUAUCAAGAGGAACACCAGUGGCGGAGGCGAGUCCCUGGACAACUUCUGACGCUGAGGCACGAAAGCUAGGGGAGCAAACAGG
rnacentral:rRNA from 1 species